rnacentral:rRNA from 1 species
UACGGAGGGAGCUAGCGUUGUUCGGAAUUACUGGGCGUAAAGCGCGCGUAGGCGGCUUUGUAAGUUAGAGGUGAAAGCCCGGGGCUCAACCCCGGAACAGCCUUUAAGACUGCAUCGCUAGAAUCCGGGAGAGGUGAGUGGAAUUCCGAGUGUAGAGGUGAAAUUCGUAGAUAUUCGCAAGAACACCAGUGGCGAAGGCGGCUCACUGGCCCGGUACUGACGCUGAGGUGCGAAAGCGUGGGGAGCAAACAGG